rnacentral:tmRNA from 1 species
GGGCUUGUACCGGUUUCGACAGGUCGGCGGAAGAUGGAGAAGCUAUCCGUGGACUGUGACCACGUUAAAACACAGACUUUAAAAUUAAACGCUAACAACAAUAAGUUAGUUGCUCAGGCUGCCUAAUCGCGCCUGGCUGUCGUAGUGAGGUUUCCUGCGCCCCCGCUUCGGCAUCAUCCUCAGCAGGCUCCUUACUGAUAUCUUGUCUGUGGUAUCGGUAAAGCUUUGACAGACUACCGAACCCGGAGGGUGUCGAUCUCCGACCGGGCAAGGAAAAUCCAAGAAUGACCGACUAUGAUAGUAGAAGUACAUGGGACUCCGGUUUGGACGCGGGUUCGACUCCCGCCAGGUCCAC